rnacentral:lncRNA from 1 species
AAGGAAAAGAAAAAUCCGGCUGGAAUUGGUUGGAACCAAGAUGGCCAACCAGAAUCUGUGCAGAAUGAACUUGGAUGUACAGAAAGCAUGGUGCCGGCAUCUGCUCAGCUUCUGGUGAGGGCUUCAGGAAGCGUUUACUCAUAGCAGAAGAGGAAGGGGAGCCAGCGUGUCACAUGAUGGAGUCUUGCUCUGUUGCUCAGGCUGGAGUGCAGUGGUGUGAUCUCAGCCCACUGCAAUCUCCACCUCCUGGAUUCAAGAGAUUCUCAUGCCUCAGCCUUCUGAGGAGCUGAGAUUACAGUGUCUGUCCUGCACCCAACAAACCAUCCAACCAACCAGUCAACCAGCCAACAAACAGCCAACUAACCAAUCAUGCAUCAAUCAUGCAAUGCAACCAUCAACCAACCAUUCAGCCAACAAACCAGCCAGUCAUUCAAACUUCUAAUCAGCCACCUAUUCAGUCAACCAAUAAACCAGCCAACCUACCAAACAGCCAACCAACUAUGCAACAAACCAACCAACUGACAACAAAUAGUCAAACAAUUUAACUUCUAACCAGCCAACCUACCAAAUAGUCAACCAUCUAACAAAUCAGCCAAACAGCAAAGCAAUCAGCCAAUGGAACAGCCAGAUAACCACUCAACUAACUGUGUUCUCUAGCCAGCCAACCAUCCAAAUAACCAGCCAGCCAACCAUCCAAAUAACCAGUCAUCCAACCAUCCAAAUAACCAGCCAGCCAGUCAGUCAAAUAACCAGCCAGCCAACCAUCCAAAUAACUAGCCAGCCAGUCAGUCAAAUAACCAGCCAGCCAACCAUCCAAAUAACCAGCCAGCCACCAUCCAAAUAAUCAUCUAAGAUUCAGCCAAACAACAAACCAGGCAACCAACUAACCAACCUGCUAACCAGGCAACCAACUAACUAGCCAUCAAAACAACCUACCAACCAAAAUGCCAACCAGCCACUCAAUCAGUCAACCAAGCUAAGAACUAGCCAACCAAGCAGCCAGCCAAUUCUCCAACGAACCACCAGUUAGUCAACUAGCCAAGCAACCAACUGGCCAGUCAGCUGAACAACCAAUCAAGCAACCAACUGAUCAACCAACUAGCCAAUCACCAAACAUCCAUCCAUCCUUUCAUCUACCCACAACAAUUACCCAAAUACCUAUGGAGCAUCCACCAUGGACCCAGGCCUGUGAGGGCUACAACAAAAGUGGAGAAUCACAGCCCCUGGCUUCAAGGAGCAGAAAACUCAGCCAGUAAAGCAGGAUGAGCACAAAUAAAACAGCUGGAGAUCCCUAAAAGGCAGCAAACAGGGAAGGCUGCACCAGUUGCCAGUGCCAGAAGCAGUCUGGGGAGGGAGAGAUCAUCAUGGACAGGAGAAAUAAGGGAGGAUCCCUGGGAGAGCUGGGACUGGAGCUGCCUUCUCUUGCAGUAAGGCCAACCCUAGAAGUUACCAUUUAUUGAGAACUUACUCUAUGCCAGGCAUUCUAAGUGAUUUGCAUACAGCCAAGAAACCAACCUGCCUCACAACAAUCCUGGGACAAAGACAGUGUUAUCACCCUCAGCGUACAGAUGAGGAAACAGAGGCACAAGUAAGUGAAGUCAUUUGUCACAUACCUUU